AGAUAGGAUGUUCAGCAAUUUUCUGGUAUUGUCUGACCCUUGCCUAUGUUUGACGAAGCCUGAUUGAUCAUUAUGUGUGAGGGAAGGGAGGAUUAAAGACAAUCGGUUCACCAACAGUUUUGCAUAUAAUUUUACAUCUCCGUUGAGUAGCGAGAUGGGCCUAAAGUUCUGGCAUUGUGUCUUUCCCUGGUUUGGGUAGUGUGGAGAUGUGGGCUGUUAGCAUUUCACUUGGGAUUUGGCCUUUGGAGUAGCCGGCGUUAAACAGUGCCGUCAGAUGUGGGGCAAGUGUGUCAGCGUGCGUUUGGUAAUAUUUGUUGGUGUAUCCAUCAGGGCCUGGAGCUUUAUGUUUGGGUAGUCGAUGUAUGGCCUGUUUAAUUUCCUUUUCUUCGAAUGGUGUGGAUAUGGAGUCUGUCAGCUUGAGUUAGUUGGGGUAGAUGAAUGUCUGUGAGGAAGUUUUGAAUAGACUCUAUGGUAGGAAGCGUAGUCUGGGGGUCAUCUGUGAGAUUGUAUAGAUUGC